AUUUUACCAUGUACAUGGUAAAAAUAACAACAGCUUUUCCGAUAGUUUGUUUCCCUUUUUUCAUCAAAACAAGUCAUUUUGUUCUCUUAAGAAGUAUUAUAAAUUUAAGUUUUGUUGAUAUUUAUAUCGAUAAAAAAAGCCGCAAAUGCUAAUCGAGUGUAAAAAUUACUGUCCAAGGGAUUAAUUAAGGAUGAAGAGCAAUUGACGAGCUCCUGGAACCGGCCGUGAAUAAUCGCAACCGCAGUCAUGAAUUUAUUUUGUUUUACUGGAAACAGUUCAAUAUUUCAACGAGAUAAGGUGAUCGGCAAUUCGUCCGCCAUGGUAUCCGAACAAGUUAUCUUACGAGCACCCCCUCAACCUCGUCUGUUCACAUGUAUGCAUCAGUCACUCUGAUUUCUGGAGGACACAACCGGAACAAACGAAAUGGAGACAAUGGAGACUAUUGC